CGGGGGGCAGCAGUAGGGAAUAUUGGUCAAUGGACGAAAGUCUGAACCAGCCAUGCCGCGUGAAGGAUGAAGGCCCUCUGGGUCGUAAACUUCUUUUAUUAGGGAAGAAACCUCGGGAUGCGUCCCGAGCUGACGGUACUUAAUGAAUAAGGAUCGGCUAACUUCGUGCCAGCAGCCGCGGUAAGACGAAGGAUCCAAGCGUUGUCCGGAUUUACUGGGUUUAAAGGGUGCGUAGGCGGAAAAUUAAGUCAGUGGUGAAAGCCCGCAGCUCAACUGUGGAACUGCCAUUGAAACUGGUUUUCUUGAAUAUAGCUGAGGCAGAUGGAAUAUAACAUGUAGCGGUGAAAUGCUUAGAUAUGUUAUAGAACACCGAUUGCGAAGGCAGUCUGCUAAACUAUUAUUGACGCUGAGGCACGAAAGCGUGGGGAGCGAACAGGAUUAGAUACCCGAGU
rnacentral:rRNA from 1 species